AAAACAUUCAGACCGUCGGUCUACCGAGCAAUAUCACCAGCUCGGUGGAAGAUCUUCCCUUUGUCGU
rfam:Bombyx mori DNA, contig: Bm_scaf105_contig36658, strain: p50T/Dazao, build 2, whole genome shotgun sequence.